rnacentral:rRNA from 1 species
AUUGAACGCUGGCGGCAGGCCUAACACAUGCAAGUCGAGCGGAUGAAGGGAGCUUGCUCCUGGAUUCAGCGGCGGACGGGUGAGUAAUGCCUAGGAAUCUGCCUGGUAGUGGGGGAUAAUGUCCGGAAACGGGCGCUAAUACCGCCUACGUCCUGAGGGAGCAAGUGGGGGAUCUUCGGACCUCACGCUCUCAGAUGAGCCUAGAUCGGAUUAGCUAGUUGGUGGGGUAAAGGCCUACCUAGGCGACGAUCCGUAACUGGUCUGAGAGGAUGAUCAGUCACACUGGAACUGAGACACGGUCCAGACUCCUACGAGAGGCAGCAGUGGGGAAUAGGGGACAGUAGGCGAAAGCCUGAUCCAGCCAUGCCGCGUGUGUGAAGAAGGUCUUCGGAUUGUAAAGCCCGUUAAGUUGGGAUGAAGGGCAGUAAGUUAAUACCUUGCUGGUUUGACGUUACCAACAGAAUAAGCACCGGCUAACUUCGUG